rnacentral:rRNA from 1 species
AUGUCGGAUACGCUAGUGUCUAACAAUUUAGAUGAGCUAAUCAAAAUUGUGCAGCAAGAAUAUGAUGCCUAUGAUGCUGAUAAGAUAAACAAGAAUUUUCUUACAGUACAAAGCUGCUUAAUUGAGGUCAUGAAGAGAGGUGGAGGCAACGACUACAAGAUCCCUCACAUGUACAAAGAUGGCCUAGAACGUGCAGGAAAUCUUCCUUUUUAG